UGUGAGGUUAUCCACUUUGGUGGCAAAAAUAGGAAGGCAGAUUAUUAUCUGAAUGGUGCCGUUAGGAAAAGGGGAAGUACAACAAGAUCUGGGUGGCAUGUUCAUCAGUCACUGAAAGUAAACAGUUGUUUAAGAAGGAACUGCAGAUGCUGGAAAAUCGAAGAUAGACAACGCUUCGGCCCGAAGCCCUUCUUCAGACUGAAGAAGGACUUUCGGGCCGAAACGUUGCCUAUUUGCUUCGCUCCAUAGAUGCCGCCUCGCCCGCUGAGUUUCUCCAGCAUUUUUGUGUUCGUUCGAUUUUCCAGCAUCUGCAGUUCCUUCUUAAAGAUCCUAUUGGCCCGGUCCACUCUCUCUCUCUCCACUGCUCCCAAUGGCUGGCUGCUUCCGGGGGGGGAUCGGCUCCUUGGGAGUGUCCCGGCCGGGACUGCCCGUGUCCGCCUCCCGGCUGCUCAUGGGACCCAGGCUCGUGUCCAGACAUCUUAAAUUGGUUUCGAGGAGUAAUGUUCUCUCCACACCAAUUCACCGGGACCCAGUGGUCACUUCCAGACGUGUAGGGUGGUACCUGGCCACUCGGGGGCAAUCCCAGCUACAUCCCAUCAGAGGAGCAGACGAGACACGCUUGAGACAAGAAGUCAUUUCCACCGUUGGGUGGGACUGCCAGCGGCACAGGUUUCCCCGGGUUUCCCCGGGUUAUCCCACCACUCUCUCUCUCUGUCUCUACUGACCUUGUGUGGCCGACCUGCUGUUCGCGUGCCCUGGCCAUCCCCGCUGAUCACCGAGACGAUUAUUUAUCAUCAUUCUUGUCACCCUAAGCCUCGCUGUAAUCUCCCUCGCCAGAGUAUGUCAAUAUCUUUGUUUCGCCAC